rnacentral:rRNA from 1 species
GAUGAACGCUGGCGGCGUGCCUAAUACAUGCAAGUCGAACGCAAUGAGAGAAGUGCUUGCACUUUUCAAAUUGAGUGGCGAACGGGUGAGUAACACGUGGGCAACCUACCUGAUAGCGGGGGAUAACGAGUGGAAACAUUCGCUGAUACCGCAUAACAAUAAAGAAGGCAUCUUCUUUAUUUCAAAGGCGCUUUCAAGCGUCACUAUCAGAUGGGCCCGCGGUGCAUUAGUUAGUUGGUGGGGUGAAGGCCUACCAAGACGAUGAUGCAUAGCCGAGUUGAGAGACGGAUCGGCCACAUUGGGACUGAGACACGGCCCAAACGCCUACGGGAGGCUGCAGUAGGGAAUCUUCCACAAUGGGCGAAAGCCUGAUGGAGCAACGCCGCGUGUGUGAUGAAGGCUUUCGGGUCGUAAAGCACUGUUGUAUGGGAAGAAAUACUAGGUUAGGAAAUGAGCUUAGUUUGACGGUACCAUACCAGAAAGGGACGGCUAAAUACGUGCCAGCCGCCGCGGUAAGAC